AGUGAACGCUGGCGGUAGGCCUAACACAUGCAAGUCGAACGGCAGCACAGGAGAGCUUGCUCUCUGGGUGGCGAGUGGCGGAUGGGUGAGGAAUACAUCGGAAUCUACUUUUUCGUGGGGGAUAACGUAGGGAAACUUACGCUAAUACCGCAUACGACCUACGGGUGAAAGCAGGGGAUCUUCGGACCCCGCGCGAUUGAAUGAGCCGAUGUCGGAUUAGCUAGUUGGCGGGGUAAAGGCCCACCAAGGCGACGAUCCGUAGCUGGUCUGAGAGGAUGAUCAGCCACACUGGAACUGAGACACGGUCCAGACUCCUACGGGAGGCAGCAGUGGGGAAUAUUGGACAAUGGGCGCAAGCCUGAUCCAGCCAUACCGCGUGGGUGAAGAAGGCCUUCGGGUUGUAAAGCCCUUUUGUUGGGAAAGAAAUCCAGCUGGUUAAUACCCGGUUGGGAUGACGGUACCCAAAGAAUAAGCACCGGCUAACUUCGUGCCAGCAGCCGCAGUAA
rnacentral:rRNA from 1 species